GUGUGCUCGCAGCUCUGUGAUUAAUUUCUAUAGCUGUGUCAGUUAUUGACUUGUUCAAAUUGAGAAAAUAUUGUAUAUUACAAGAAAAUAUCCGUAUGUAGUUUAUAGAUGCUACCAAAACAAACAAAGCAGGUAAAUAAUGAAAAACACAACGUUAAUUUAUUUACACUUUCUAAUCAAAUUUGGGUGCAUAUCUAUUGUAGCUAUUCGUCUAUUCUUAAUAAAAGGGUUCUUUUGGAGUAACACCCUACACUUAGGGUAGGCAGUGAUUGUUAUUGUGUAGUGGCACACCCAAUAACAGGAGCACAACCUCGGCUGAAUGUCGCAAAUAAAUUUAUGAGCGAGCAGAGGCAACAACAACAAUAACAACAUCUAUUCGAACAGCGAUAACGACAGAGAUCUGUAGGCAAUUGGAAAUGCCU